CUAUNACUGUUCGUUUGGCUCUUCGACUAUGCUCUGCGACUUCGGGACCAAGUAAACCGUCCUAGUGAAACGUUCCGAGAUCACCGCGGGUUGGUAGUCUGUCGUCCGGGUUACUGCCAAACAGACAAAGGUCAAAGUUGAACUAUAGAAAUUAGGAGCACAGUCGGACACGCGUUGGUCUUACGUACCACGGGAACCCGUCUCAGACUUUAACGAAGCGUCAAAGAAUUUACAAAGUUAAAUAUAAUUACAAGAACUAUCCCGGGCUGUGUCGGCUCAUUGGGAUCGUUCCCAGUGAGGGGACACACACACGGUUGUCAGGCCUAUCCUCGACAAGAAACACUUAACUUAGUAUACACUUGACCGCGUUCACGGUGUCUAUGCAUAAUACUGUAAAAAGCACGCUCUGUUCUCGAACGUCCAUGGUAAAGGCAAGCAGGUUUUGGAGCAGGAUUAACAGUGAGUAGUGUUUGAUGUUGUACGCGGCCAGAUUGGCCGCUGGCUUCGGGUGGAUUAUGUUUACAGGGGGCGGGGGAACAAACGCGUCGAACAUGUCCGUGUCCGCGUCUGUGAACACCAACGAGGACGGGAUCCAUCUUGCUCUGGGCAGCAUGAAACACCAUAAGCGUCAUUGACGACCAGUUCGAAUUUAUUAUGAAAAAGUCUACGACGUUUGUAGAAUUGUCGAAUAAGGAACUGGUGGCUUGAAAUGUCUUAGAAUUGUAAAAUAAGAAACCUUCGGACCAUGAUA